ACGGGUGAGUAACACGUGGGUAACCUGCCCUAUAGACUGGGAUAACUCGCGGAAACGCGUGCUAAUACCGGAUAACACAUCAAAGUGCAUGCUUUGAUGUUGAAAGAUGGUUCUGCUAUCACUAUAGGAUGGGCCCGCGGCGCAUUAUCUUGUUGGUGGGGUAACGGCCUACCAAGGCGACGAUGCGUUGCCGACCUGAGAGGGGGAUCGGCCCCCCUGGGACUGAAACACGGCCCAAACUCCUACGGGAGGAACCAGAAGGGAAUUCUCCACAAUGG
rnacentral:rRNA from 1 species